UACGAAGGGGGCUAGCGUUGUUCGGAAUUACUGGGCGUAAAGCGUGCGCAGGCGGUCUUCCAAGUCAGUGGUGAAAGCCCGGAGCUCAACUCCGGAACUGCCAUUGAAACUGUGAGACUCGAGUACGAGAGAGGUGAGUGGAAUUCCCAGUGUAGAGGUGAAAUUCGUAGAUAUUGGGAAGAACACCGGUGGCGAAGGCGGCUCACUGGGCUCGUAACUGACGCUCAGGCACGACAGCGUGGGGAUCAAACAGGG
rnacentral:rRNA from 1 species